UGAGGGAGAUUAUGCUAUUUGUGUUUGGUGGUGCUGAAUUGAUCUAAGUAGCAGAUGAAGUUUAUGAUUGAAUUGACGUAACAUCCGAUCGACCAUCCAUGGAUUUUUUUUUUGUCUGGAAUGACAAUCCAUAAAUUAUUAUUCAAAUGAAAAUAGGAAUUGUGAUUGUUUAUAUACAAGCUCCAGAGGAUUGCCAACAAUGUUUUAAUUGUGCCUCAUUUUGUCAAGUUAAAGGAACGAGAAUGAUUAUGUUUUGAUCUUUGUUUAUGUAUAUCAUAUGAAAUAUAUAAUAUGAACAAAAAAAAAAGAGAUUGAGAAAGUCUGAAGCUUUUAUGUCAAUCUAAAUGUCAGCAAAACUGUGCAGGUUAGCUUAACUUGUUAACUGUAUUAGACACAGAUUUGAGUGUCAGCAUUCUUGACAUCGAGAAUGUUUUUCAUCUCUGUAUUCAUAUUUCUUGGUGUUUGCAUGAGAUUGUGAGUAUUGGUACACAGAUGCUUCGAAGUGUUUUCUUUGUAUUAUUCGAG
rnacentral:misc_RNA from 1 species